AUUGAACGCUGGCGGCAGGCCUAACACAUGCAAGUCGAGCGGAUGAAGAGAGCUUGCUCUCUGAUUCAGCGGCGGACGGGUGAGUAAUGCCUAGGAAUCUGCCUGGUAGUGGGGGACAACGUUUCGAAAGGAACGCUAAUACCGCAUACGUCCUACGGGAGAAAGCAGGGGACCUUCGGGCCUUGCGCUAUCAGAUGAGCCUAGGUCGGAUUAGCUAGUAGGUGGGGUAAAGGCUCACCUAGGCGACGAUCCGUAACUGGUCUGAGAGGAUGAUCAGUCACACUGGAACUGAGACACGGUCCAGACUCCUACGGGAGGCAGCAGUGGGGAAUAUUGGACAAUGGGCGAAAGCCUGAUCCAGCCAUGCCGCGUGUGUGAAGAAGGUCUUCGGAUUGUAAAGCACUUUAAGUUGGGAGGAAGGGCAGUAAGUUAAUACCUUGCUGUUUUGACGUUACCAACAGAAUAAGCACCGGCUAACUUCGUGCCAGCCGCCGCCGUAAGAC
rnacentral:rRNA from 1 species